CCUACGGGCGGCAGCAGUGAGGAAUAUUGGUCAAUGGACGAGAGUCUGAACCAGCCAAGUAGCGUGAAGGAUGACUGCCCUAUGGGUUGUAAACUUCUUUUAUAUGGGAAUAAAAUGUUCCACGUGUGGGAUUUUGUAUGUACCAUAUGAAUAAGGAUCGGCUAACUCCGUGCCAGCAGCCGCGGUAAUACGGAGGAACCGAGCGUUAUCCGGAUUUAUUGGGUUUAAAGGGAGGGUAGGUGGAAUGUUAAGUCAGUGGGGAAAAUUUGAGGCUCAAACGUAGACUUGCAGUUGAAACUGGUAGUCUUGAGUACGGUAGAGGUAGGCGGAAUUCGUGGUGUAGCGGUGAAAUGCUUAGAUAUCACGAAGAACUCCGAUUGCGAAGGCAGCUCACUGGCCUGCAACUGACGCUGAGGCUCGAAAGUGUGGGUAUCGAACAGGAUUAGAUACCCGGGUAGUC
rnacentral:rRNA from 1 species